GAAUGAGUACGAUUCGAACCACCUAACGAGGAACGAUCGGAGGGCAAGUCUGGUGCCAGCAGCCGCGGUAAUUCCAGCUCCAAUAGCGUACGUUAAAGUUGCUGCAGUUAAAAAGCUCGUAGUUGAACGUUCGGGUUCCGCGGGACGGGGCCGCCCCGCGAGGGACGGCGCCGCCCCGGGGCUCGUGAUAUCUUAUCUCGCCGCCCGUCGCGAGGCGGACGGAGGGAUGGAUGAGGUUACCUGGAAAAAAUCGGGGCGAUCUAGGCGGGCGAACCUCGCCAACGAACGAUCGGACAUGGGAUAACGGAAGAGGGCGUCGGCUCGACUUCGUCGGUUCCUCGGGCCGAGGCACGUACGGUGAAUAGGGGACGGUCGGGGCCGCCCGUACCGGGUCGUGAGAGGUGAAAUUCUAGGAUCGACCCGAGACGAACUGCCGCGAAGCAUUCGGCAAGGACGCUUUCAUUAAUCAAGAACGAAAGUCGGGGGAUCGAGACGAUCAGAUACCGUCGUAGUCCCGACCGUAAACGAUGCCGACCGAGGGCCCGGAGGAGUUACGUACGACCCUCCGGGCCCUCCCGCGAG
rnacentral:rRNA from 1 species